CUUAGGACCAGGUUACAUUAGAGCAGAUGUGGCUAAUGUGCCCCUCCCAGAUGUUGCUGGGCUACAGCUCCUCAGUCCAGACCCUUGGCUAUGCUGGUUGGGGCUGGCUGGAGUUGGAGUCAAGAAACAUCUGGAGGGCCACAGGUUAGCCACACCUGCUCUAAGGCACCCUGGUCUUAAG